rnacentral:piRNA from 1 species
ACGAGUAAAACUGGUAGUUGAAAGACAAC